rnacentral:rRNA from 1 species
AAGAGAAAGCCACAGCUGCCUCCUGGGCCAUGGACUCUUCCCUUCAUCAGAAGCCUCCACCACGUCGCCAGCGUGCUCCCGCACCGCAAGAUGAUGGAGAUGUGUCGCCGGCAUGGGCCGCUGAUGCACCUUAUGCUCGGCGAGGUCCCAACGGUGAUCGUCUCCAGCGCCGAGGCGGCGGCGCUGGUGAUGAAGACCAACGACCUUGCCUUUGCUGGCCGGCCUCGCAGCGCGACGCUGGACAUCUUCGGCUGCGGCGGGAGGGGCAUCGUCUUCGCCCCCUACGGUGACCCAUGGCGCCAGAUGCGCAAGGUCUGCACCAUGGAGCUCCUGAGCUCCAAGCAGGUGAGGCGUAUGGACGGUAUCAGGCCAGACCAGGUGGGCAGCCUUCUCCAUUAUGUCGCAGACGCGGCAUCCAUGGGUGCCGUCGUCAACGUCAGCGAGAAGAUGAUGGCGCUCAGCAACGACGUGGUGUCGCGGGCGGUGUUUGGCGGCAAGUUCCCGCAGCAGGAGGAGUACCUCCGGGAGCUGGAUGAGGCGUUCGUGCUGCUAGGUGGUUUCUGCCUCGUCGACCUCUUCCCGUCAUCGCGGCUGGUGCGGUGGCUAUGCAAGGGAGAGCGCCACAUGAGGAGGAGCUAUGGCCACAUCCAACGUAUCAACGCCGACGUCAUCGAGGGGCAUAAGGCGGCGCGAGCUGCCACACAGGACGGUGCCUCCAGCACCGACGAUGAUGACUUGCUGGACGUGCUACUCAGGCUCCAGGAGAAGGACGCGUUCACAUUCCCUAUGACCACGGAGAGUAUAGGUGCCGUCUUAUUUGACAUAUUUGCAGGUGCCACACAGACCACGGGAGUUGCCUUGGAGUGGGCAAUGUCUGAGCUCGUCCGUCAUCCCGAAGCCAUGGCCAAAGCACAGAUUGAGAUCCGAGAGGUGCUAGGUCAAGGUCGAGCUGUGAUUACUAAUAGUGACCUCGCUGGACUCCAUUACAUGUGGAUGAUCAUUAAGGAGGUUCUUAGACUGCAUCCACCAGGUCCUUUGAUCCCCCGUAGGGCCAGGGAAGACCGUAAAGUUAUGGGUUUUGACAUGCUUUAAGGCACCAAUGUAUACAUUAAUGCGUUUGCAGUUUUGAGGGAUCCAAAUUGUUGGGAAACUCCUGAAGAGUUUAAGCCUGAAAGGUUUGAGAACAAUAACAUGGAUUACAAUGGGACAUACUUUGAAUUCACCCCCUUCGGUGUUGGUCGGAGGCAGUGCCCUGGGAUACUAUUCGGCACGUCAACUAUGGAGAUCGCCUUGGCAAAUCUUCUCUACCACUUCGACUGGGUGCUUCCUGGCAAGGCAAACCCGGAAUUUUUGGACAUGACCGAGAAAUAUGGGAUCAUCGUAGGAAGAAAAUAUGACCUACAAUUGAUACCUAUUUCCCGUGGAGGUUUCCAUGCCACAUAG